rnacentral:rRNA from 1 species
UUAUCUCUGUAGAGUCUGCAUAUCAAUAAGCGGAGGAAAAGAAACUAACUAGGAUUCCCUCAGUAACGGCGAGUGAAGCGGGAAGAGCUCAAAUUUGAAAUCUUCAAGGUUUUACCUUGACGAAUUGUAGUUUAAAGAAGUGUUUUCUGUUGGAGUUUUGGUAAAAGUUCUUUGGAAUAGGACAUCGAUAGAGGGUGAGAAUCCCGUAUUUGACCAUUAUUUCCAGCUUUGUGAUACACUUUCAAAGAGUCGGAUUGUUUGGGAAUGCAGUCCAAAAUGGGUGGUAAAUUUCAUCUAAAGCUAAAUAUUGGCGAGAGACCGAUAGCGAACAAGUACCGUAGAGGGAAAGAUGAAAAGAACUUUGAAAAGAGAGUUAAACAGUACGUGAAAUUGUCAAAAGGGAAGCGUUUGACACCAGUGUUGUUUUCUCGAAAAUCAAUUAAAAAUGGUCUUGAUUUUGUGUUGUAUUGACCUUAAAAGCUUUCUUCACUUUUUUCAUGUCUUUUUUAAUGCACUUUUCGUUUAACAAGUCAACAUCAGUUUCUUUUGUUGUAAAAAGGUCAUUGGAAGGUGGCUUUCUUUUCGGAGAAAGUGUUUAUAGCCUUUGACUCCUGCAAUCGGAGAGACUGAGGUCUGCAGCGUAGAUCCUUCUGGAUUAGAUACAUUUGUGCUAAGUUACAACCGUUUAUAGACAACUUGUUGACUAUAUUCGAUCCUGUAGCUUACUCGCUUAUGUAAUUUUACCUACGCUUAGGAUGUUGAGUCAUCACACAUCUCU